rnacentral:rRNA from 1 species
GACAGAGGUGCCGAGCGUUAGGCGGAAUCACUGGGAUUAAAGCGUGUGUAGUCGGAUCGUUAAGUACCUUGUGAAAUCCCACGGCUCAACCGUGGAACUGCUGGGUAUACUGGCGGUCUUGAGCCACCUAGGGGCGAGCGGAACACGCGGUGGAGCGGUGAAAUGCGUAGAUAUCGCUUGGAACGCCAACGGUGAAAACAGCUCGCUGGGGGUGUGCUGACGCUGAGACACGAAAGCCAGGGGAGCGAACGGG